rnacentral:lncRNA from 1 species
CCUGGGCUUUCGGCCUCCUCUUCAUCAACAAGGAGUCAGUAGUAAUGGCUUACCUCUUCACAACCUUCAACGCCUUCCAGGGGGUCUUCAUCUUUGUCUUUCACUGCGCCUUACAGAAAAAGGUGCACAAGGAGUACAGCAAGUGCCUGCGUCACUCCUACUGCUGCAUUCGCUCCCCACCUGGGGGGGGCUCACGGCUCCCUUAAGACCUCAGCCAUGCGAAGUAACACCCGCUACUACACAGGGACCCAGGUACCCGGGCAGGGAAGGCAUAUCCACCAGGUCUCUCUGGGGCCGAGAGGCAGGAGUGCUCUGCCAGAGUCUCAGAAAGAUCCUGGAGGGCAGAGUGGUCCUGGAGACCCCCUCACGUUUGGGCUGUGUCCCCAGAGCCGAAUCCGGAGGAUGUGGAAUGACACCGUGAGGAAGCAGACAGAGUCGUCCUUUAUGGCAGGGGACAUCAACAGCACCCCCACCCUG